CGGAGCGUAGCCUAGCGGCUUAAGGCGUCUGCUUUGGGAGCAGAAGAUCCUGGGUUCGAAUCCCAGCGCUCCGA
rnacentral:tRNA from 1 species